rnacentral:lncRNA from 1 species
GCUACCCUUGUGCUUGCGUUGCCCACAAGCUUGUAGUCAGAAGAACUCGCCUGGGAGGGAUCGCUCCUGGGAGAUCCGAACGCGGGAGGGCCUGGAGCGCGGCGGCAGCUGGAUAGCAUUCGGGCCCAUCCGAAUAAGCGCUACUUGAGAGGCUGAGGCAGAAGGAUCGCUUGAGACCAGGAGUUUGAGGGUGCAGUGAACUAUGAUGGCGCCACCACACUCCAGCCUGGGAGACAGAGUGAGACCCUGUCUCUAAAAGAAAAAAGAAAAUUCAAGAUACAGAGCCAGACAGGUAACAAGGACAGGUGAAGGUGGCUGAGUAGGGUCCACACUGAACUAGACAGUGCCUUUCAUCCCCAUCCUCCCCACCCCCAAUUUAACUUACACACAGUCAGUCCCAAGAAAGCUUGUUGAAUGAAUGAAUGGAUUUCUAAAUAAUUCCCUAAAGGGGAAUAUCUAAGCCUAAAAACUUUCCCCUGCUCUCAAUGCCACUUAAUUCUGUUUUAUAAUCAUUUCUUUCUUUCCUGCAGGAGCCUGGAUGGCCAUCUUUCUUCUGAUAGCAAUAAGCUGGAUGCUGGGAUAGAAGCCUGAUACCUCCUCCAACCCUAGUCCUUGGCCUCUAGUUUACUCGCCUGAGGCAAGGGUAGAGUGGAGGAAGAUUUAGGGAAAGCAAGUAGUCCGUUUUAUUGUUACGGACCAGAGAGGUUGGGGGUGCAGAUGAAACCAACAUCUGGUUGGCCGGGCACGGUGGCUCACACCUGUAAUCCCAGCACUUUGGGAGGCCGAGGCGGGCGGAUCAUGAAGUCAGGAGAUCGAGACCAUCCUAGCUAACACGGUGAAACCCCGUCUCUACUAAAAACACAAAAAAUUUGCCGGGCGUGGUGGCGGGAGCCUGUAGUCUCAGUUACUCAGGAGGCUGAGACAGGAGAAUGGCAUGAACCCGGGAGGCAGAGGUUGCAGUGAGCCGAGAUCGCGCCACUGCACUCCAGCCUGGGUGACAGAGCGAGACUCCAUCUCAAAAAAAAUAAAUAAAUAAAAAUAAAAAAAAUAAAAAAUAAAAAAUUCAUUUGCAGGAACAUUUUGUUGUCUUUAAUGCCUUAACAGCUCCUGAAAAAAAUCAUGUCAAAUGAUCAAUCCAUGUUAUUUUUUCAUGCACAUCAAAGUCAC